CUACCCUUGACAUGUCCGAGAGCCCGGUGAGAGCCGGGUGUGCCCGAAAGGGAAUCGGAACACAGGUGCUGCAUGGCUGUCGUCAGCUCGUGUCGUGAGAUGUUGGGUUAAGUCCCGCAACGAGCGCAACCCUUGUCAUUAGUUGCUACAUUCAGUUGGGCACUCUAAUGAGACUGCCGGUGACAAACCGGAGGAAGGUGGGGAUGACGUCAAGUCCUCAUGGCCCUUAUGGGUAGGGCUUCACACGUAAUACAAUGGCGCGUACAGAGGGUUGCCAAGGGGUGACCUGGAGCCAAUCCCGCAAAGCGCGUCGUAGUCCGGAUUGCAGUCUGCAACUCGACUGCAUGAAGUCGGAAUCGCUAGUAAUCGCGGAUCAGCAUGUCGCGGUGAAUACGUUCCCGGGUCUUGUACACACCGCCCGUCACACCAUGGGAGUGGGUUUCACCAGAAGCCGGUCGCCUAACCGCAAGGAGGGCGCCGACCACGGUGAGAUUCAUGACUGGGGUG
rnacentral:rRNA from 1 species